AGGAAAAUGUGGAGUCUAAAGAGGCAGGGGUGGGUGUUAAUCAGGAAGAGGAGUGGCCUUAAAAGGAAGCGGUGGGGCAAAUUUAGGUUACAGGGUGCCCAGGUUUAGUCAUACCAAAAUACACCAUUGAACCUGUUUGCUACUACAGUUUGACAUAAAACAUUUACAGCAGCAGGCAAGUUAAGCUGAGCAGUAGUUGGUCAAGGGACAGUAGAGUCUGAUCCAAUAUGGCUGAGAACAAGAUUUUCAAAAAAAAAAAUAAUCAAAAAACUAAUAUACCUCAUUUAGAAAAUAUUAUAAGUUUCAUUAAGUGUAAAAAUUAAAAUGUCAGUUGUCUUUUCAGUAUAGCAUCUUUUUUCUGUUUUAUAUACUAAGAUAUAAA